rnacentral:lncRNA from 1 species
ACGCUUUUUUGUUUUAGUUCGAUGGUGUACAUGUGGUGAGUGGUUCCUUGGACACUAGCAUAAGAGUCUGGGAAGUAGAGUCUGGCGCCUGCAAACACACUUUAAUGGGCCAUCAAUCAUUAACAUCUGGCAUGGAACUAAGAAAUAAUAUCCUGGUAUCAGGCAAUGCUGAUUCAACAGUCAAGGUAUGGGACAUAGUGACUGGCCAAUGUCUUCAGACGCUUUCAGGUCGUAACAAACACCUGUCUGCUGUAACUUGUCUUCAAUUCAACAACCGCUUCGUGAUAACAUCUUCAGAUGACGGCACCGUCAAGCUGUGGGAUGUGCAGACAGGCAAAUUCAUCCGUAAUCUUGUUGCACUAGAAAGUGGCGGCGCUGGUGGUGUAGUCUGGCGUAUCCGCGCCACAGACACUAAGCUCGUGUGUGCCGUGGGGAGCCGUAACGGUACCGAGGAGACCAAAUUGUUAGUAUUAGAUUUUGAUGUCGAUCUGACUGCUGGCACGACCGUCGUGUCUAGGUAAUUACUGAGGACUCAAAAAAUUUUAGUGGUAUGCUUAAUUGAAGAGAGUGAAUGAUGCCCGUGCGUUUGUUGAAAUUAGGGGACCCAAGAUGUCACCUGUUCGAAUAGGGCGUUUCGAACGGGUCGGUUUUUAUGUAUAAUCUGAACAUUGGAAACCGAAUUUUGGCAGCACAUUCAGCUCAUUUUGGGAUUAUUGGUAGAAUGUAUAUUUUUAAACAUAUUUUACAAAAAAUUUGCUUAGCGAAUCUCAAGAUUUUCUCCUAUGAAUUUUUGACUCGGUAGUGAAAAAAGACUAAUUUUUGUGAAUAGUAUUCAUGGUUGGGUUGAAGAAAAGUGGAUUUUAUGUUUCAUAAAUUUAUUAAUUUUCAUGUGCAGACUAGAAAUUUAAUGAUUGAUAUUUUUCAAUAUCAAAUAAUGUUCCUUCAGUAUCUUUUUUUAAAUUACAUAAAUCUGUAUUCCCGUGGUCUAGUCAAAAGACCACUAAACUAGUUCAUUCAUAUAAACGUGAAGUAUAUUUAGCUAUUACCUAUCAGAAUUUGUAUUUCAUAUAUGUACCAGCAUUUUGAAGUUGAAUGUGCUGUAGAACAUUCAGUGUUUUCACUGUAGAUCAGAGGAUGAAGUAACACCAAACAAAUGUUGAACUGUGAUAUACCACGCUUAUUCCACCUAUUUGUCUAACCUCAAAUACUCGCAGGCGGCAUCUCUGGUAUUAUCCCAUUGGCAAGUAUCAAUAGUUAUAAGUCAUCAACCCCUCUGGGAAAUCCUAAUCUAAAAUAAUCUGGUGCUUAUUGUUUUGUUUUAAACUUUUGCUGCAAAUUUGAGUACAAAUUCAUUGUUAUUUUUCAUUACUUUUGGAGAGUGUCAGAUGUUUUCAUAUGACGGUUUUUGCGUCCUAUUACAUAUAAGGCUGAUAUUCAAUAACCAAAAUACAGAAAAACAUCAAUCCCGCUUUUUAAAUUUUUUUUCAUUCUUAUAGUUCCUAUUCAAAGCUUUAUUCAAAAUGGAACAAUCUGAGAAAAAUAAGUUGUAAUAUUGAAAAUAAAUUAUAUGGUCCAUCUUUUAUUAUAAAUUCACAACAACAAAUGUUUUCAUUAAAAUAUGUUUCACAAUGGUGAUGAAAAAAAUUGUUACUGGUUAAACCUUUUCCUAACGACAUUGUUUCUUUACUGAUUUUUCUUGUUGAUCGGUAUACUUCAAUAAAAAAACUAUCGCGUCUUUUGUUUACUUUUGCACUCUCAAUUUGAUCAUUCUGCAACCAAAUUAUUUUCGAUAAUAUCUAGGCUUUGAUUCAGAAUACCUUCACAGAAGAGACACUCAAAAUGUAACAGGACCAAUGAACUUUCAUUGCCAGAUGACAAUUUUGAAAAUAAAGGUAAAAUAAAGCUAAUUUGAAUAUUAGCUUUAACUACCUGCCUAGAUGUCAUUCGUGAUAAUUUCUUACUGCAAUAAAACCAUAUAUGGAAAAAAUUUAAAUAUUUGAACUUGAUGUUGAAAAUGACAUUAAUCCCCCUUAACACUAAUGACCCAUGAAUAUUAAAGUGCUGCCUGAUGAAUGUCUCUUCUGCAAAGGUAUUUAUACUUAUGGAACAAUUCUUAUUGAUGUGAAUGAUGACUGAAUAAUUGUUUUCUUUGAAUGCUGAUGAAUGAAUCUCUGUUCCUUAAAUUAUUUUUUACAGAUUGAUUAUAUUGCACCAGAGAGACUGAUAGUAAUUUUUAAGAUUCAUGAAAGUUAAGAAAGUACCACAUUAAGAUAUACAAUCAUUCAGGUUUUCUCUGAUAUUGGGAUAUUAAUAUACAUCACCUUUUUGUAAAACCAGUCUAGUUUACUAAAAUUCUCUGAAAGGAAAAAUCGAUUAGAUGUGAUUUUGAACAUUAAUUUCUAUGUAGCUACUACUUCCUUGAUACUAUUCUUGAAGUUUGUCGACUGCAUGACACAUGUUUUCAAGCUUUCCUUUCCAACAUUAUCAAAGGGGGUGGAGUUAUAUAUGCAUGGUUCUAUUUGUGUUCACAGCACACUUCAUCAGGGUUAGAACCCCAGAUAUUACUUAUGUUUCCUCACCACUAAUAAAUGUCUAUUACUGACAAAAAGUCCAGAAAAUAGCUUUAUCAUAUUUUGAAAAAUGAAACUUUUCAUGAUGAUCUCGUACCACGUAGUAACGGCUACAUCUAUCAAUUUAUUGUCAUAUUUUCUCCAACCGUGGAAGUAACUAACAUGUAAAUAACCCUAGGUGUUAUAACAGAUUUUGAAUAACUCGAUAAAAAGUAAACUAGACAGGUCAUCAGAGGAUUAUCCUGUACUUGAUUAAUAAUAUGCUGUUUUUUUUGCAUGGCAUUGGGAAGAUGUGGUUCAAGCUCAAUAUUCGUGUCGUAGUUAAAACUUGAUUGUACAUAGUUGUUAAUAAAAUGUCAUGACAUCACACCCAGUGAAAUCUUGGUAUAUUAAAUUUUAAUUCAAUACUUGUUUCAUCGCCCAUGACAUAAUGAUAAUAACGGUAGUGACUGAAUAAUAUUGGUGAUCAUCUGUACAACUCGAAAGAAAAUCUAACAUUUUAUAGGUAGCCAUAUUUUCUAAAAUGUAGUUGAUAAUCAAAAUGUAAAGAAAGCUUCAUUAUUUUUUCUACCUCCUUACUAUAUUAGUCAAAUUUGCAAAACCUGCCUCACAGGUCUGUUUCUUUUUGCAAUAAUUUUUCCAGUAGUAGUCAAAAUUUAUUUUAAGUAUAAAUCAUUCAGGUCAUUGUUUUUUAAAAAUAUUUUAAGUUCCAAAAGAGUCAUGAUAGUAUUGAUAGUUGUGGAAUUAACUCGAGACUCCUGCCCAUAGUUUUUUUUUGUUGAUUGAUUACAAUAUGUAUUCCCUAUUGAAAAUAUUUUGGUAAAUGAAAAUUAUUAUGGUAUGAAAUUCAGAUUAUCAUAGCCCCAGUCGCCACUUUCUUAAUCAUGCACCAAAGGCAAAUUUCAAUUUUAAUUUGAUGUGUUAGGUUUUCUAUUAUGACCAGGAACAUUUCAAUUUUCACAGCAUUCCCUGGAUAAGAAAAGCAUUAUUUUGACUCCAUUGUACUUCAAUAUCAUAUUUUUCUUAACAUUUUCGUUAGAACAAAAAAUACUGAUCAGUGAGACGUGAAACAAAAGAAGUGGUAGUUUGAGGGUUGAUAAAUGUCAUUUUUUACGAAUGAGGAGAUUCCAUAUAAUUUCUUUAUGGAAAUUCAGUUCAUGUUCAUAGGCAGUUACACACAAUCAAUUUUUUCCGUUUUGGAGAAGCAGUUGUAAAAUUUCAAAGUCUGGUGUUGUUAAUGUUAUAAUUUCAAGUGUAUUUGUUAUAUUUAUUUUAAUAAAACUAUUAAAUUAU